GAAAAAUUAGUUAAAGAUAUAAUAUUAAAAUGUCAUUUUAAAGUUAUUUAAGUUUAAAUAUUUUUUU
rnacentral:tRNA from 1 species